rnacentral:rRNA from 1 species
AUUGAACGCUGGCGGCAUGCCUUACACAUGCAAGUCGAACGGCAUCGCGGGAAAGCUUGCUUUCCUGGCGGCGAGUGGCGAACGGGUGAGUAACACAUCGGAACGUACCGGCUAGUGGGGGAUAACCCGUCGAAAGACGGGCUAAUACCGCAUACGCUCUUCGGAGGAAAGCAGGGGACCUUUGGGCCUUGCGCUAGCCGAGCGGCCGAUGUCCGAUUAGCUAGUUGGUGGGGUAAAGGCCUACCAAGGCGACGAUCGGUAGCGGGUCUGAGAGGACGAUCCGCCACACUGGGACUGAGACACGGCCCAGACUCCUACGGGAGGCAGCAGUGGGGAAUCUUGGACAAUGGGGGCAACCCUGAUCCAGCAAUGCCGCGUGGGUGAAGAAGGCCUUCGGGUUGUAAAGCCCUUUCGGCAGGGAAGAAAUCGGCGGGGCGAAAAACCCUGCUGGAUGACGGUACCUGCAGAAGAAGCACCGGCUAACUACGUG